GAUGAACGCUGGCGGCGUGCCUAAUACAUGCAAGUCGAGCGAACAGACCAGGAUUUUGCUCCUCUGACUUUAUCGGCCGACGGGUGAUUCACACGUGUUUAACCUACCUAUACUACUGGGAUAAUUUCGGGAAACCGUAUCUUAUACCGGAUAAUAUAUUGAACCUCAUUGUUCAAUAGUUAAAUUCGGUUUUUCUGUCACUUAUAGAUUGAUCCGCGCCUCAUUAGCUAGUUGUUAAGGUAAUGGCUUACCAAGGCAACGAGGCGUAACCGACCUGAGAGGGUGGUUAGACAGACUGGAAGAGAGACAGGGACGAGACACCUACGGGAGGAAGCAGUAGGGAAUCGUACGGAAGGGGGGAAAGCAUGACGGAGCAAAACGGAGUGAGUGAUGAAGGAGUAAGGAUGGUAAAGCGAUGUUAUUAGGGAAGAACAAAAGUGUAAGUAACUAUGAAGGUAAUGACGGUACCGAAAGAAAAAGCAACGGCUAACUACGUG
rnacentral:rRNA from 1 species